AUUGAACGCUGGCGGCAUGCCUUACACAUGCAAGUCGAACGGUAACAGGUCUUCGGAUGCUGACGAGUGGCGAACGGGUGCGUAAUACAUCGGAACGUGCCCGAUCGUGGGGGAUAACGAAGCGAAAGCUUUGCUAAUACCGCAUACGAUCUACGGAUGAAAGCAGGGGACCGCAAGGCCUGGCGCGAACGGAGCGGCCGAUGGCAGAUUAGGUAGUUGGUGGGAUAAAAGCUUACCAAGCCGACGAUCUGUAGCUGGUCUGAGAGGACGACCAGCCACACUGGGACUGAGACACGGCCCAGACUCCUACGGGAGGCAGCAGUGGGGAAUUUUGGACAAUGGGCGAAAGCCUGAUCCAGCCAUGCCGCGUGCAGGAUGAAGGCCUUCGGGUUGUAAACUGCUUUUGUACGGAACGAAAAGACUCUGGUUAAUACCUGGGGUCCAUGACGGUACCGUAAGAAUAAGCACCGGCUAACUACGUG
rnacentral:rRNA from 1 species